rnacentral:tRNA from 1 species
AGAUUUAUAGUUAAAUUUAUAACAUUUACUUUGCAAGUAAAAUUUACUACUAGUUUUAUCUU